AUCUUGAAGUUAUGCGAAUUACAAAUCGUCUGAAGUAAGCUCAACUCGAGAGUUGAACCGCAAUUAAAAAUCUUAAGAUGGCGCAGCCCAGUUGAUCGCUCCGCGUUGUUCUGUUAGCUGUAGUCAAUCGAUCGCUCUGUAAUACAAAACCGUGUCUGAAUAUUUUUUUGCUGUUGCCACGUUACUCAAGAUAACAGAGAAUCGAAAAAGAAAUUGGCAAAGAAAAACAUUCUAAUCGCGUCACGUCACACAUCUCGUAUAGUAUUUCUCGAGAGAUCAAUCUCAACCCCGUCAUGAAGGUAACAAUAAAAAGUUGGACUGGCGUCGCCACCUGGCGGUGGAUUGCGAACGAUGAUAAUUGCGGAAUAUGCAGAAUGCCGUUCGACGCUAGCUGUCCAGAUUGUAAGAUCCCUGGGGAUGACUGUCCAUUAGUGUGGGGGCAGUGCUCGCAUUGUUUCCACAUACAUUGCAUCAUGAAGUGGCUGCACUCGCAGCAAACCAGCCACAUCUGUCCGAUGUGUCGCCAGGAGUGGAAGUUCAAGGAGUAACCGCCGUCGCUUGUCCCACGGGCCCGCAGGUGUCAGCACGCAGCGAGUGAUCAGUAUACAAGAAAGAAUCGCGAUGUCUUCCCUGCAAGGAUUACCCCCGUUACCAAGAAGCUUGAGCGGCUUCAAUCUGAGCGGCGGGCGCAGCGAGAAUGGCGAGCCACCUCCACCGCCCACAAGAUCGUCCAGUAAAUCCCAAAGAAGCGGUAAAACGUCGCAACAAUCGUCGUCAUCGAGGCCAUCACCACCUGCCAGACAGCUGACCACUCUAGAUACCCAACUGGCGGUGCUCAGGAGAGAAAUG
rnacentral:misc_RNA from 1 species